rnacentral:ncRNA from 1 species
UAUUUUGAUUUUACUUUUUUUUAGUGUAUUUGUUUCAUUUAUAUUUUAAAGUUUUAUUCUUGCUUAAUAGUUCACUUUUUCUUUAUGUUAUAUAUAAGUUUUGUUAUACUAAAUGUUCUAUUAGUAGUAAUUUAAUUUAAUUAUCAAGUUAUUUUGGAAUUAGUAAUUGAUUGAAAGUAUUGGCAUAUUUCGUGCCAGCAGCCGCGGUUAUACGAUUGAUACAAGUGAAUAAUUUCGGUUAAUAUAGUUAUUAUGAUUUUAUUUGAGUAUUAUUUUGGAUUUAUUAGGUGAAAUUUUAUUUCUUUUUAUGGCUCUUAUUUUAAUUAUGAACCUAUGAAACUUAUAAUAAAAACUAGGAUUAGAUACCCUAUUAUUUUAAGUGUAAAUUUUGUUUACCUGGGUAGUAAUAGUUAAGGUCUUUAAACCCAAAGAAUUUGGCGGUAUUUUAUUCUGUUUAGAGGAACCUAUUUCGUAAUUGAUAGUACACGAUUUACUUUACUUAAUUUAUUUGUUUGUAUAUCUCCGUUAUCAGAAAAUCUUAUUGGAGUUAUAAUUUUCUUAUUAUUUCACUAAAUUUUAUUUCAGGUCAAGGUGCAGCUUAUAAUUAAGAGUAAUAUGGGUUACAAUAAUUUUAUAUUAUUAUGGAUUUAAUUUUGGAAUAUUUUAAUGAAGGUGGAUUUAAUAGUAAUUUGAAUAAUUUAAUUCAAUUGAUAUUGGCUCUAAAAUGUGUACACAUCGCCCGUCACUCUCAUAAUUUAUUAUUUUUAUUUUAAUUAAUAUGAGAUAAGUCGUAACAUAGUAGAUGUACUGGAAGGUGUAUCUAGAAAGUAUUAAU